UACGUAGGGGGCUAGCGUUGUCCGGAAUCAUUGGGCGUAAAGAGCGUGUAGGCUGCUCGGUCAGUCCGCUGUAAAAGUCAAAGGCUCAACCUUUGAAUGUCAGUGGAUACUGCCGGGCUAGAGUCCGGAAGAGGCGAGUGGAACUCCUGGUGUAGCGGUGGAAUGCGCAGAUAUCAGGAAGAACGCCCGUGGCUAAGGCGGCUCUCUAGUACGGUACUGACGCUGAGACGCGAAAGCGUGGGGAGCGAACAGG
rnacentral:rRNA from 1 species